rnacentral:misc_RNA from 1 species
GGCUCAGGCCUUUUGGAUGUGGGGUGAUUCUUGGAGGGUAUGAUAGAGAUGGACCUCAACUAUACCUGGUUGAGCCUUCUGGUGUCUCCUAUAGGUACUUCGGUGCUGCUAUCGGAAAGGGAAGGCAAGCUGCUAAAACAGAAAUUGAGAAGUUAAAGUUAUCUGAAAUGACCUGUCGACAAGGGAUUAUUGAGGUAGCAAAAAUAAUUUACGGAGUACAUGAUGAGGCAAAAGACAAGGCAUUUGAACUUGAAAUGAGCUGGGUAUGUGAUGAGUCUAACCGCCAACAUCAGAAGGUUCCUGAUAAUCUUUUAGAGGAAGCAAAGGCUGCAGCUAAAGCUGCACUUGAGGAGAUGGAUGCCGAUUAAGGGUCCAGAUAUGUUGGUUAUUUCGUUCUUAUUUAACGAUCUAUCUCUACCAUGUUUACAGGAUUUUGCCACCACUACGAUGAUCAAUGUUGAUGAUGAAAGCGAUUUAUAGUUUCUUGUAAUUCUGAACUGUAAGCUUACAACUCCCAAGUUUGAAAAUCCAG